GACUCACCUUGCCCCGCCUCGCACACCUGUCCCUCAUUAGGCGCAACAGCGCUGCCAGAAGGGAAAGGCAACUGAGAAUACAUGAAACAGGUGGGAGCGCGUGUUACUCCCUCGACCGGCACAGCUAACGCCACCUGACUCCCGGGGAUGAGAAACAGGUAAGAAACGGGGGACAUGUAGACUGGAUCAGGCGGCCCAGGUGAGGGAACGCUAAUCACCUGUACGGAACACCUGC